AUGAGAUCUCUUAUGCCUGCCUUCCUUCAGAGGAAGAAGACUUUCCUGAGGGCAAGAAGCGCUAUGCCAUUGGCAGGGGAAACUGGAACAUUCAAGUGGCCCUCUGGUGUGCCCAGAUGCCUCAGGUGGUCCUUGGGAAAUUCAUGGAAUAACCUGCUUUGGCCUCAUUAGAUGCAUUAUGAGUAAGAAACCCUCUGUAUUCAUCCACUUCUCUGCCUACAGUACCUGCCCUGGAUCAUCCACAGAGACCUCUACAGUGAGAAGUGACCCACUUUGCUCAAAAACUAAACACGGUACAAAGUCAGUGCUUAUAUUUUUGGUUUUCCCCCUCUGUCCUCCCUGUGUAGCAUCUGGCUGUGAAGAGCCAAAGGACCUGACUGCACAGUCUGCAUCUUAUCCUCUGUGGGUUUCCCUGCCAGCUACAGCAACAAAGUCCACUGCCAGUGGAGGAUCCAGGUGGCCAUUGGCUAACCGUCUGCCUCCAUUUUUCUCACCGGAGCAGAGUCUGCUGUGCAUGAAGACCAAAGUUGGCCUCAAAGUCAGAAUAGGAAGUCUAGUCCACUGAAUAAACCCUCCUACUGGAUAAUGUGUCUGGGGAAGCACCACAUGAACUCCUCUAUGGAUGUUCCUUCAACAGAGGCCUGCUCUAAUGUGAAUGGUAUCAUCCGCUAUGAGGGGUGUGAGCCGUAUCACAGUGACAUCACCAACAGCAUUGCUCUGGUGCAUCUGACAAAGCCUGCCAAUAUUACAAAGGAGAUCAAUCCCAUCUGUUUGCCCAGACCUGGGGGUGUGAUGCCUGCUGGGACUCCCUGCUUUUUCACAGGCUGGAACAGUAGAGAAGCUAAAUCAGGUAGCCCUUCAUAUUAUUCACUUCCAUAUCUGCAGUAAGCCUGUUUACAGGUGGGACACCCUCAGGUACUCCGUGAUCUGUGCUGGAUAGGAGGUGAAGUCAGUCUGCCAGGUGAAAGGCUGC